rnacentral:rRNA from 1 species
GAUGAACGCUGGCGGCGUGCUUAACACAUGCAAGUCGAACGAAGAUGCCGGAGUGCUUGCACUUUGGCAGACUGAGUGGCGGACGGGUGAGUAACGCGUGGGUAACCUGCCUUAUACAGGGGGAUAACAGUUGGAAACGACUGCUAAUACCGCAUAAGCGCACGGUAUCGCAUGAUACAGUGUGAAAAACUCCGGUGGUAUAAGAUGGACCCGCGUCUGAUUAGCUUGUUGGUGAGGUAACGGCCCACCAAGGCGACGAUCAGUAGCCGGCCUGAGAGGGUGAACGGCCACAUUGGGACUGAGACACGGCCCAAAUCCUACGGGAGGCAGCAGUGGGGAAUAUUGCACAAUGGGCGCAAGCCUGAUGCAGCCAUGCCGCGUGUAUGAAGAAGGCCUUCGG